CUACGAAGGUCCCGAGCGUUAUUCGGAAUCACUGGGCGUAAAGAGUAUGUAGGCGGUUUGGUAAGUCAGGUGUGAAAUCCCGGAGCUCAACUUCGGAACUGCAUCCGAUACUGCCAGACUAGAGUAAUGGAGAGGCAGGUGGAAUUCUCGGUGUAGCAGUGAAAUGCGUGGAUAUCGAGAGGAAGACCAAUGGCGAAGGCAGCCUGCUGGACAUUUACUGACGCUGAGAUACGAAGGCUAGGGGAGCGAAAGGGAUUAGAUACCCCAGUAGUCC
rnacentral:rRNA from 1 species